rnacentral:rRNA from 1 species
GAUGAACGCUGGCGGCGUGCCUAAUACAUGCAAGUCGAGCGAACAGAUGAGGAGCUUGCUCCUCUGACGUUAGCGGCGGACGGGUGAGUAACACGUGGAUAACCUACCUAUAAGACUGGGAUAACUUCGGGAAACCUGAGCUAAUACCGGAUAAUAUAUUGAACCGCAUGGUUCAAUAGUGAAAGACGGUUUUGCUGUCACUUAUAGAUGGAUCCGCGCCGCAUUAGCUAGUUGGUAAGGUAACGGCUUACCAAGGCAACGAUGGGUAGCCGACCUGAGAGGGUGAUCGGGCAGACUGGAACUGAGGCACGGCCCAGACUCUGGCGGGAGGAAGCAGUCGGGAAUCCUCCGGGAUGGGCGAAUGCGUGACGGAGCAACGCCGGGGGAAGGCUGAAGGUCUUCGGAUCGUAAAACUAUGUUGUUCGGGAAGAAGAAAAGUGCUAGUAACUGUGAACGUAUUGACGGUACCUGAUGAGAAAGCCACGGCUAACUACGUG